rnacentral:rRNA from 1 species
GAUGAACGCUGGCGGCGUGCCUAAUACAUGCAAGUCGAGCGAACGGACUAGGAGCUUUCUUCUGUGAUGUUAGCGACCGACUUGGGAGUAACACGUUGAGAACCUCCCUAUAAAACUGGGUUAACUUCGGGAAACCGGAGCGAAAACCGGGUAUUAUUUUCAACCGCAUGGUUCAAAAGUAUAAGACGGUCUUGCUGGCACUUAUGGAUGGAUCCGAACUUCAUUAUAUAUUGGGUAAUGUUACGGUGUACCAAGGCAACGUGGCAUAGCAGACCUGAGAGGGAACUCGGCGACACUGGAACUGAGACACGGUCAAGCAUCCUACGGCAGGCAGCAGUAGGGAAUCCUCCGCAAUGGGCGAAAGGCUGACGGAGCAACGACGCGUGAGUGAUGAAGGUCUUCGGAUCGUAAAACUCUGUUAGUAGGGAAGAACAUAUGUGUAAGUAACUGUGAACAUCUUGACGGUACCUAAUCAGAAAGCCACGGCUAACUACGUG